rfam:Echinostoma caproni strain Egypt genome assembly, scaffold: ECPE_scaffold0002478
GCACUACUGAUGAAACUCAACCAGGUCGAAACAGCUGUCCAGUGC